CGUGCGUGCGGGUGUACUCUUGUAAUCCAAUUACGUGGAGGUUAGGUAUGAAAAAACGUUUUAAGGGCUGGGAUUCGGGGAUUAAAUUUCCCACGUUGACUAGGCGUCCGUUAGGGCUAAAUCUUCAACUUGGAUGCCUUGGGGGGGAGCCCGAGGUAGCCAGAUUGAGUCUGAAAGGGGGAAAAAUCGGUCCAAAAGUCACAUCGAGUUGAGAGUCGUGGGUUCAAAUCCUGGGAGUGGGAGUUCAAUUUCGACUCGUUCAAACAAGAACAAACCUGU
rnacentral:SRP_RNA from 1 species